rnacentral:rRNA from 1 species
GAGUUUGAUCCGGCUCAGAGCGAACGUUAGCGGCGGGCCUAACACAUGCAAGUCGAGCGAGAAAGUGGCUUCGGCCAUCAGUAAAGCGGCGGACGGGUGAGUAACACGUAGGUAAUCUUCCCUUGAGCGGGGGACAACGAGCCGAAAGGCUCGCUAAUACCGCAUACGUUUCUCGGGACUCCGGUCCUGGGAAGGAAAGCUAGGCAGCAAUGUCCGGCACUCGAGGAGGAGCCUGCGUCGCAUCAGCUAGUUGGUGGGGUAACGGCCUACCAAGGCGAAGACGCGUAGCUGGUCUGAGAGGAUGAUCAGCCACACUGGGACUGAGACACGGCCCAGACUCCUACGGGAGGCAGCAGUGGGGAAUAUUGGACAAUGGGCGCAAGCCUGAUCCAGCCACGCCGCGUGAGUGAUGAAGGCCU